GAUCAUGGCUCAGAUUAAACGCUGGCGGCAUGCCUUACACAUGCAAGUCGAACGGCAGCACGGGGGCAACCCUGGUGGCGAGUGGCGAACGGGUGAGUAAAGCAUCGGAACGUGCCCUGGAGUGGGGGAUAACGUAGCGAAAGUUACGCUAAUACCGCAUAUUCUGUGAGCAGGAAAGCAGGGGAUCGCAAGACCUUGCGCUCUGGGAGCGGCCGAUGUCGGAUUAGCUAGUUGGUGGGUAAAGGCCUACCAAGGCGACGAUCCGUAGCGGGUCUGAGAGGAUGAUCCGCCACACUGGGACUGAGACACGGCCCAGACUCCUACGGGAGGCAGCAGUGGGGAAUUUUGGACAAUGGGCGAAAGCCUGAUCCAGCCAUGCCGCGUGAGUGAAGAAGGCCUUCGGGUUGUAAAGCUCUUUCGGUGGGGAAGAAAUUGCAUGGGUUAAUACCCUGUGUAGAUGACGGUACCUGGAGAAGAAGCACCGGCUAACUACGUG
rnacentral:rRNA from 1 species